GUGGUGGCUGCUCAACUUGGUAAAGUUACUGAAAAUCACCGAGUUGUACACUUAAAAUGGGUGAAUUUUACGGUAUGUAAAUUACACUCCAAAAAAGUUUUUAAAACACUGAUUGAAGCAUAGGAUUUCUUUAUUCUUCUUUUACUUGUAUUGUACCAUCUUCUGAUUUUGUUUCAGUGACAUGCACUCAAGUGGCUGCAGCAUAUGCAGGGUGCCCUCAUUUCUUCAUUUUUCUAAGAGGAAGUUUGCCUUUAAAACAGUAGUGGAUUCUUUCUUCUACACCAGUAACCUCUGACAAAACCUACUAUUUGUGUGACGCCACGCAUGUGGUAGAGACAGAACAAAUCUUUAUUUACGACUGUGCCUUGUUUCUACUUGGACUUGCCAUCGAGAUGGAAUUUUCUCAGAACCCAGGUCUUCAUGCUGUGUUCUUCACUGCCUUGCUCUGCAUCCGGGGCUGACCCCUUGGACUGUUUGGCAGACUCCUCUCCCUGCUGCAGGGGAGGAGCCCAAAGAGAUGUUUUCAGGAGCUGUUUUGAAAGGAUGGCUCGCUGAAUUCUCAGCUCAAUCAUCAGCUCUCCCCUCGGCAUUCUGUUUCAGUGCGUGGGUGGGAACUUCUACACUCCUCAACUCUUACUUUGAAGAAAAAAAACGUUAAAAGUCUCAAUCUAUGGUGUAAACUGUAAAACAUCUUUUCUCCCCAGUGAUCAUGCCAAACAAAACCCUGCAUAUCACUCUGCAUAACUGAAUCAGACAAACUUUACACGUCAAAGAGCCAUCAUUGUAAACCUGAACAUUG